rnacentral:tRNA from 1 species
GGGGGCGUGGUGGAAUUGGCAGACGCAGGGGAUUUAAAAUCCCUGGCCGAAAGGCUUGCGGGUUCGAGUCCCGCCGCCCCUA